UGAAACUGUGAGUUGAUUGAAUCUUCUAUUCAUUUUGUUAAAUGACAUGCUGACAACUCUGCUCUGUCACAAGUAACUUCAAAUGUGAAACUUAGUGGCAUCAUAUGAUAGAGAUAGAUGCACUUCGAAAAUAUCAUUAACAACUAUUAUCGAAUAAAGUAAAACUUCUAGGAUUUAUAGUAAAUUUAUAAUGGAUAUGUGAUGAGGAUAAUGACGAAGAAGUUAAUCCUUAUGUGGUCCCUAGUAGCAUAAAAUAAUAUAUCUGUUCUUUAAUUUAAUUUUUGCUCCUGAAUAACAUUUUUUAAUUAUUGAGUUUGUCAAAGCAAGAUUUGGGAGGACUACUUGAUUAUAUUCAUGUGGACUCAUUCGUAAAUUUUUCCCAAUUCAUCUUCCUUACCUUCCCUCGUUUUUGCAUGCAAGUGAAUUUCUUUUCAGUUGAAAUGAUAAAUUAAUUUUAAAUUUUUGGUUCAGUGGGAAUUGACUUGCUUGUAUUAUUGUUGUUCUGCAGGUUUUGUUGUUAAUGAGAAACCUCAUUGUCAACUUGUCUAGCCCUGAAUUUGAGCCGAUGUUGGGCAGAAGAGGAUGUGGAUCCUUCGUUGUUCCCACGUCGCCAGGAGAAAGAGAAAACAUUGAAUGAAUCUUUAGAAGAAUUGGACAACUUUAACUUGGUUUGGCCCUAAUUUUAGACUAGGUUUAUGUUUAUAUUUAGGCAAUUCUGAUAGUGGUUAGCUACAAGAGCAGAUUGUUUUAUACACCUUUAGUGUAUGCCACAGUACAGAUUUUACAGGUUUUCUUUUUUUCAAUAGUAUUUGUUUUGAAUUAUAGUUGAUGUAUCAAUACACUUUGUUGAUAUAUGGUUGUUACUUAUUAUUAUAAUUGAUGUAUCAAUAUACUUUGUUUGUGUUUUGAAUUAUAUUGACUUGUUUAUUUA